rnacentral:tRNA from 1 species
GGCGGUUUAGUGUAGUGGCCUAGCACGCAACUCUCUCACGGUUGAGACUCGGGUUCGAUUCCCGGAUCCGCUA